CUUCCUGAGCCUGUUGAGGACAGAUGAAGUGGAUGUGAGUAUCGAAACCACCGGCAGUGACAAUGCUAUGUUCGCCCGCAAUCACAUCUGUGCAGUUUCCGACUACGAGGUUGGGAUCUACGCCGUCCAUCACAUCCGGGUUUCCGGCUUUGCCUACACCUGUGAUCACUCCGUCUUUGAUGCCUAUAUCAGCCUUGUAUAUCCCUGUCCAGUCGACUAUCAGAGCGUUCGUAAUCACAGUAUCCAAACAUUCGUUAUCAGAUCUUCCGCCUGCCUGGCCCAUGCCUUCUCUCAAG
rnacentral:sRNA from 1 species